rnacentral:rRNA from 1 species
CCUACGGGAGGCAGCAGUGGGGGAUAUUGCACAAUGGGGGAAACCCUGAUGCAGCGACGCCGCGUGGGUGAAGAAGUAUUUCGGUAUGUAAAGCCCUAUCAGCAGGGAAGAAAGAAGACGGUACCUGACUAAGAAGCCCCGGCUAACUACGUGCCAGCAGCCGCGGUAAUACGUAGGGGGCGAGCGUUAUCCGGAUUCACUGGGUGUAAAGGGAGCGUAGACGGCCGUGCAAGCCAGGAGUGAAAGCCCGGGGCCCAACCCCGGGACUGCUCUUGGAACUGUGCGGCUGGAGUGCGGGAGGGGCAGGCGGAAUUCCUGGUGGAGCGGUGAAAUGCGUAGAUAUCAGGAGGAACACCGGCGGCGAAGGCGGCCUGCUGGACCGCGACUGACGUUGAGGCUCGAAAGCGUGGGGAGCGAACAGGAUUAGAUACCCGGGUAGUC